rnacentral:rRNA from 1 species
GACGAACGCUGGCGGCGUGCUUAACACAUGCAAGUCGAACGGAAAGGCCCUGCUUUUGUGGGGUGCUCGAGUGGCGAACGGGUGAGUAACACGUGAGUAGCCUGCCCUUGACUUUGGGAUAACUUCAGGAAACUGGGGCUAAUAUCGGAUAGGAGCUCCUGCUGCAUGGUGGGGGUUGGAAAGUUUCGGCGGUUGGGGAUGGACGCGCGGCUUAUCAUCUUGUUGGUGGGGUAGUGGCUUACCAAGGCUUUGACGGGUAGCCGGCCUGAGAGGGUGACCGGCCACAUUGGGACUGAGAUACGGCCCAGACUCCUACGGGAGGCAGCAGUGGGGAAUAUUGCACAAUGGGCGGAAGCCUGAUGCAGCAACGCCGCGUGCGGGAUGACGGCCUUCGGGUUGUAAACCGCGUUCGCCUGUGACGAAGCGUGAGUGACGGUAAUGGGUAAAGAAGCACCGGCUAACUACGUG